rnacentral:rRNA from 1 species
UGAGGAAUUUUGCGCAAUGGGAGCAAUCCUGACGCAGCAACGCCGCGUGGGUGAUGAAGGCCUUCGGGUCGUAAAGCCCUGUCAGGUGGGAAGAAUGUCCCGGGACUGAACAGGUUUCGGGGGUGACGGUACCACCAGAGGAAGCACCGGCUAACUCCGUGCCAGCAGCCGCGGUAAGACGGAGGGUGCAAGCGUUGUUCGGAAUCACUGGGCGUAAAGCGCGUGUAGGCGGUCCGGUAAGUCGAGUGUGAAAGCCCGAGGCUCAACCUCGGAAGUGCACUCGAAACUGUCGGGCUUGAGUACGGGAGAGGGAAGCGGAAUUCCUGGUGUAGAGGUGAAAUUCGUAGAGAUCGGGAGGAAUAUCAGUGGCGAAGGCGCCCAUCUGGACGGUAACUGACGCUGAGACGCGAAAGCGUGGGGAGCAAACA